UGUCAAAUUCCCAAUGGGCGAAGCCUGAUGGUCGAUCGCCGCGUGCAGGAUGAAUGUCUUCGGAUUGUAAACUGCUUUUAUAUGUGACGAUAAUGACGGUAGCAUAUGAAUAAGGAUCGGCUAACUCCGUGCCAGCAGCCGCGGUAAUAAA
rnacentral:rRNA from 1 species